GACGAACGCUGGCGGCGUGCCUAAUACAUGCAAGUAGAACGCAGUUGCGAACGGGUGAGUAACGCGUAGGUAACCUGCCUCAUAGCGGGGGAUAACUAUUGGAAACGAUAGCUAAUACCGCAUACUGUGAGAUGGACCUGCGUUGUAUUAGCUAGUUGGUGAGGUAAAGGCUCACCAAGGCGACGAUACAUAGCCGACCUGAGAGGUGGAUCGGCCCGACUGGGAACGGGAAACGGCCCAGACAUCUACGGGAGGCAGCAGUAGGGAAAUUUCGGCAAAGGGAGGAAGGCGGACCGAGCAACGCCGCGGGAGUGAAGAAGGUUGUCGGGUCGGAAAGCUCUGUUGUUGGUGAAGCGGUAACUAACGAGAAAGGGACGGCUAACUACGUGCCAGCAGCCGCGGUAAUUC
rnacentral:rRNA from 1 species